UACGGAGGGUGCAAGCGUUAAUCGGAAUUACUGGGCGUAAAGCGCGCGUAGGCGGCACGAUCAGUCCGCUGUGAAAGCCCCGGGCUCAACCUGGGAACUGCAGUGGAUACUGUCGCGCUCGAGUGUGAAAGAGGGGGGUGGAAUUCCAGGUGUAGCGGUGAAAUGCGUAGAGAUCUGGAGGAACACCAGUGGCGAAGGCGGCCCCCUGGUUCAACACUGACGCUGAGGUGCGAAAGCGUGGGAGCAAACAGG
rnacentral:rRNA from 1 species